ACCCGACCCACUGCUGGGGGUGGGGUCUGGUGGGGGUGGUAAGGAGGCCCCGGGAUUCUCUGACAGGACGGUCUGGGGUCGCCACAGCGCCCCUCACCCCGUCCCAUCCUGGGAUUGGAAAGGAACAACGGGAGGCCGUCGCUCUCCUGCCCAGCCCUUCGGGGAGCGCAGCUGGGACGCAGCGCCAGGCCCGGGAGAUGUGGGAUGAUGGGCUCCUCCAGUAUCAUCUCAGCAUCGGCCCUCCAGCCAGGCCUGGGAUAAACUCAUCCUGAAAGUCGCUGUUGUUCUCCUACUGAGCAAGAAUGGAGGCCCCACUGGUGAGUCUGGAUGAAGAGUUUGAGGACCUUCGACCCUGCUGCUCGGAGGACCCGGAGGAGAAACCCCGGUGUUUCUAUGGUUCAUCUCCCCACCAUCUCGAGGACCCCUCCCUCUCUGAGCUUGAGAAUUUUUCUUCCGAAAUAAUCAGCUUCAAGUCCAUGGAGGACCUCGUGAAUGAAUUUGAUGAGAAGCUCAAUGUCUGCUUUCGGAACUACAAUGCCAAGACCGAGAACCUAGCUCCCGUGAAGAACCAGUUACAGAUCCAAGAGGAGGAGGAGACCCUUCAGGACGAGGAGGUCUGGGAUGCUCUGACAGACAAUUACAUCCCUUCACUGUCAGAAGACUGGAGGGAUCCAAACAUCGAGGCUCUGAAUGGCAACUGCUCUGACACUGAGAAUUCCAUCUCCCCACCUCCUCUCCAGAUCCAUGAGAAAGAAGAGGAAGAGUUCAAUGAGAAGAGCGAGAAUGAUUCUGGUAUCAACGAGGAGCCUCUGCUCACAGCAGAUCAGGUAAUUGAGGAGAUUGAGGAGAUGAUGCAGAACUCCCCAGACCCUGAGGAAGAAGAGGAGGUUCUGGAAGAAGAGGAUGGAGGAGAAACCUCCUCCCAGGCAGACUCGGUUCUCCUGCAGGAGAUGCAGGCGUUGACACAGACCUUCAACAACAACUGGUCCUAUGAAGGGCUGAGGCACAUGUCUGGAUCUGAGCUGACCGAGCUGCUGGACCAGGUGGAGGGUGCCAUCCGCGACUUCUCGGAGGAGCUGGUGCAGCAGCUGGCCCGCCGGGACGAGCUGGAGUUUGAGAAGGAAGUGAAGAACUCCUUUAUCACGGUGCUUAUUGAGGUUCAGAACAAGCAGAAGGAGCAGCGAGAACUGAUGAAAAAGAGGCGGAAAGAGAAAGGGCUGAGCCUGCAGAGCAGCCGGAUAGAGAAGGGAAACCAGAUGCCUCUCAAGCGCUUCAGCAUGGAAGGCAUCUCCAACAUUCUGCAGAGUGGCAUCCGCCAGACCUUUGGCUCCUCAGGAAGUGACAAACAGUAUCUGAACACAGUCAUUCCUUACGAGAAGAAAGCCUCCCCUCCGUCAGUGGAAGACCUGCAGAUGCUGACAAACAGUGAGUUCCUCUUGUUCUCAGCCAGAUCAGCGGCUCCUUUUUCUCCCUUCCUGCCUGUACGUUGUACCUCCGGUGCCGCAGCCCCGAGACUCCUCAAAUUCUCUUUGCCAUGAAGGAGGAUAAUGAGAAGGUGCCUACUUUGCUAACGGACUACAUUUUAAAAGUGCUCUGCCCGACCUAAUCUUGCCCUUUGGAGCAGCCUCGCUGCAGGAGGUCACUGAACAAGAGUCAUUCCAUCACAGGGACUGCAUGACACCACGUAACCUCCGACGUGUAUUUAAACGUGUAUAGCUUAACCCGGAUUAAACAUGAGCAAACGCGCGGGGUCCUUUGCUGUUGGCUUCUAGUGCUAGUAACCAUUGGAUGCAUGAUGGGGCAGGGCCGGUGAUGGUGCCUCCCCUUGCGGUGUCGGGAGAGGGGAAGGCAGCCGCUUUCACUGCUCAUUAUGUAGUUUGGCUCCAGCCCUCAAAAACAGCUUAUACUGUAAGACUAAUUUUGAAAUAAAACCUUCAUUUAAUUAAUAUUC